rnacentral:rRNA from 1 species
AAGAGACAGCAGUAGCCGCGGUAAUACGGAGGGAGCUAGCGUUGUUCGGAAUUACUGGGCGUAAAGCGCGCGUAGGCGGUUACUCAAGUCAGAGGUGAAAGCCCGGGGCUCAACCCCGGAACUGCCUUUGAAACUAGGUGACUAGAAUCUUGGAGAGGUCAGUGGAAUUCCGAGUGUAGAGGUGAAAUUCGUAGAUAUUCGGAAGAACACCAGUGGCGAAGGCGACUGACUGGACAAGUAUUGACGCUGAAGUGCGAAAGCGUGGGGAGCAAACAGGAUUAGAUACCCGCGUAGUCCCUGUCUCUUAUAC